rnacentral:rRNA from 1 species
UACGGAGGGUGCAAGCGUUAUCCGGAUUCACUGGGUUUAAAGGGUGCGUAGGUGGGAAUGUAAGUCAGUGGUGAAAUCUCCGUGCUUAACACGGAAACUGCCAUUGAUACUAUGUUUCUUGAAUUAUCUGGAGGUCAGCGGAAUAUGUCAUGUAGCGAUGAAAUGCUUAGAUAUGACAUAGAACACCAAUUGCGAAGGCAGCUGGCUACAGGUGGAUUGACACUGAGGCACGAAAGCGUGGGGAUCAAACAGG